GGGUGCACCACCGGAUAUUAGUAGGCGAAGACGACCACCAAGCCUUGCCUUGACCUAGAGCAAGCAAAUGCAACAAAAAAGCAAGAUACAGACACUGAUCCAGCUAGACUAUGACCCAUGUAAUCUUUGAAGAUUGAUGCUGGAAACGCUUGUUGACACAGUGGAUGCGUGAUAAAUCCGGGACGGUUGUCCAACAACAGCAACCGAAUCCCUCUUUCGUGUGCCUCGGUUUGCGGAGGCACUGAGGUCAUGGUAUAUAGAAAGCCAGAAGCUGCCAAGGGUCACACACACGAGCAGCACAAACAAUAUGGCACUGAUCUUCUGAGGGUCACACACACGAGCAGCACAAACAAUAUGGCACUGAUCUUCUGAAUACGAGAGGACAGAGACGCAGCGAUGAGCGACCCACGCACCCAUCAGCUUCACUUGCCCCUUUUAGUUGGAAGGACCCCGUUCGAGUAAAGUCUGAACCUACCAAGCUCUACCGAUUGAAUGAUUGUACAACAAAAGGAUUAAAAGAAAAAUAUCAGCUCAGCUCCCAGUAGAAAUACCUCGCUGUCCGCUCACUAGCUUUGCCAGUAACCUGACCUUUGCUUGCAGCUGGCGAAGUUGGCAUUGGAUGUCCCCAGCCAGGCAGCAGCCGAUCCUAUUGCCGCGCAGCCGGCUGCUAAACCUGCAGAGGAAAGACCAAAGAUCCUAUCAAAUCAAAGCCCACGUGACUACGAGUACACUGCAGUCGACGUCAGCUCUGGCGCUCCUUGUCUUUUACUGCCUGAUCAUACUGGUUCUCUACAGCAUGGUACUGCACUACUACUACUACGCUCCUACUGAAGAAAAUAAACAGAAGGUGCCCAUCCAUCGGCAACGGCAGGCCAGGCCAGAGUGGACGAGGGGGAAUUCAAUGGAGGAGGCAAAGUGGAGAGGGAACCAUUGGCACCCGCACUGUAGUUCCACUUGUGCGGUGUGGGUGGUGUAGAUGGAGUUAAUUCCGCAUCCACCCAGCUAGGGCAAGCAAGGGAAAGAGAAAUUAAGCAUGCGGCCGGACUCGUUUCUCACCGGUGCAUGUCCUCUCCUCAUCAUGGUUGCUUCCAUUCUCAUCUUGAGCAUGGAAAGGUGAUGCUUCUCUUCCUCCAAAUGCCGCUUCCUCUCGGUGAAACUGUGGAACUAGUAGAAAAGUUCAUGGUCAAUGUUCUGGCGCUGUCGGAAACUCGCAAUCUCGCUUGUUUUUUGGUCCAUUUUGGCAAGAUUCUUCCCGGCACAGUAGCUAGUAAGAGCAUCUACCCCGGACUUAGCAAAUAUGACCUCUGUUGCGAACGUGUCCUUUUUAAGUCCUUACUUUUU